UACGUAGGGGGCGAGCGUUGUCCGGAUUUAUUGGGCGUAAAGAGCGUGUAGGCGGCCAGGUAGGUCUGCUGUGAAAACUCGAGGCUCAACCUCGAGACGUCGGCGGAAACCAUCUGGCUAGAGUCCGGAAGAGGAGAGUGGAAUUCCUGGUGUAGCGGUGAAAUGCGCAGAUAUCAGGAGGAACACCAAUAGCGAAGGCAGCUCGCUGGGACGUAACUGACGCUGAGACGCGAAAGCGUGGGGAGCAAACAGG
rnacentral:rRNA from 1 species